UACGAAGGGGGCAAGCGUUGUUCGGAAUUACUGGGCGUAAAGGGCGCGUAGGCGGUGCUCUAAGUCAGGCGUGAAAGCCCUGGGCUCAACCCGGGAAUUGCGCUUGAUACUGGGGCGCUUGAAUCCAGGAGAGGUUGGUGGAAUUCCCAGUGUAGAGGUGAAAUUCGUAGAUAUUGGGAAGAACACCGGUGGCGAAGGCGACUCACUGGCCCAUUACUGACGCUGAGGCGCGAAAGCGUGGGGAGCAAACAGG
rnacentral:rRNA from 1 species